rnacentral:pre_miRNA from 1 species
AAGGGGAAGUGGUGCGUUAGAUUUGCUUUAAAUUAUGUCAUAGGCGCUAUUUCCUCUGCC